GAUGACUGUGUGCCAGCAGCCGCUGGAAUACAGGUGUCCCGGGGGUGUUGCGGGUUCAAGGGGCGUAAAGUGAGUGUAGGGGGUGAGGUAAGUCGGAGGUGAAAUCGCCGAGCUCAACUCGGAAAUGGCAUUGGAAACUACCGUGCUCGAGGGUUGGAGGGGGGACUGGAAUACUUGGUGUAGCAGUGAAAUGCGUAGAUAUCAAGUGGAACACCAGUGGCGAAGGCGAGUCCCUGGACAACUCCUGACACUGAGGCACGAAAGCUAGGGGAGCAAACAGGAUUAGAUACCCGGGUAGUC
rnacentral:rRNA from 1 species